rnacentral:rRNA from 1 species
AGUAACGGCGAGUGAAGCGGCAACAGCUCAAAUUUGAAAUCUGGCCCUCUCAGGGUCCGAGUUGUAAUUUGGAGAGGAUGCUUCGGGUGUGGCGCCGGUCUAAGUUCCUUGGAACAGGACGUCACAGAGGGUGAGAAUCCCGUACGUGCCCGGUGGCCGCCCCCGUGUGAAGCUCCUUCGACGAGUCGAGUUGUUUGGGA